rnacentral:misc_RNA from 1 species
GACUACUGGCAGGAUCAACCAGGUAGCAUUCCUCACCGACGUCGGUCCGACUCCGAGCUGAGCCCAAAGGGUACAACAGGAGACCGGGCCAACGGUCGUUCGCACGAAGCGUAGAACGCUUGUUUGUGGUGCUCCGAGGCCGAGGGCCCCGUACCCACAAGAUGUUCCGUACCCGAGACACCGAGCGACACGUCGUGGUUCAUCGACCCGAAAGCCGUUUCACGGGCAAACGGGGCGCGAGACACGACGCGCGCUGUUUGGCCCACCCCGCACCGCCCGCCCACGAGGGGCAGCAGCACGGGACGGGAAUGAGACCAUGGUAGCCGACAUAAUGCCCUCGCGAUAGGUAUUCAGCACAGGAAAGCCGACGUCAGACGAGCGCUUGCUCGAUCCAACAACUGAAGAGAUGCGGACGGGAUGCCGUCGCUGCCCGAGCAGGGAUCCAGCAUGCCGUUGCGCACCAACCACCACUC